UGGGGAAUAUUGCACAAUGGGGGAAACCCUGAUGCAGCGACGCCGCGUGAGCGAAGAAGGACUUCGGGUCGUAAAGCUCUUUUAUGAGGGAAGAUAAUGACGGUACCUCAAGAAAAAGCCCCGGCUAACUACGUGCCAGCAGCCGCGGUAAUACGUAGGGGGCUAGCGUUGUCCGGAAUCACUGGGCGUAAAGGGUUCGCAGGCGGAAUAACAAGUCAGAUGUGAAAGGCAUGGGCUCAACCCAUGUAAGCAUUUGAAACUGUAAUUCUUGAGAAGUGGAGAGGUAAGUGGAAUUCCUAGUGUAGCGGUGAAAUGCGUAGAUAUUAGGAGGAAUACCUGUGGCGAAGGCGACUUACUGGACACAAAUCUGACGCUGAGGAACGAAAGCGUGGGUAGCAAACAGG
rnacentral:rRNA from 1 species